AGCAGCAGCCGCGGGAAUACGAAGGGUGCAAGCGUUAAUCGGAAUUACUGGGCGUAAAGCGUGCGUAGGCGGUGAGUUAAGUCUGCUGUGAAAUCCCCGGGCUCAACCUGGGAAUGGCAGUGGAUACUGGCUCGCUAGAGUGUGUCAGAGGAUGGUGGAAUUCCCGGUGUAGCGGUGAAAUGCGUAGAGAUCGGGAGGAACAUCAGUGGCGAAGGCGGCCAUCUGGGACAACACUGACGCUGAGGCACGAAAGCGUGGGGAGCAAACAGGAUUAGAUACCCCCGUAGUCCCUGUCUCUUAUAA
rnacentral:rRNA from 1 species